GAUUUUUGCGCAGUGAUCGCGUACGGGUACCGCCUAUAGGCUCGAAGCGUAGCCAAUCACUGAGCAAUAUUAAUCCGUCGUCGUCAUUAUCUAAGCGAUCGCCGUAGAGUUCGAUAACGUUCACUGACCAUUAUCUGGUACGCAGUAGAGUGCGCGUUGUACGAGAAUUUACUGAAAGCUUUAAUUUUUCUAUCUAGAAAAUUAACUUAUUAAGUUUCUAUAAAAAGAAAUUGAUUUAACGUGGACAGAUAUUUUAUACAUAAACGUUUAUAAAAUGAAAAGAUAUCCGUACGCGUAUUAGCUUUGUGUAAAUAAUUCUAACCUAAAAAUUUGUACAAUAAUAGAUAGGGUAACGCAGUAACGGGACAGAAAAUUAUUCUACAUAUAAAGCGCGAAGAGUCAAUGAAGCGACUGCUAGAAUGGAAGCAGCGAAUGCUGCAAUCGCCGUUAACCCGGAAAGUAGAGGUGUCGAGCUAUUACAAGCAGGAGGUGCUGCUCGAGCUCGCUGCUCACGAGGUUUCUGUCGGUAGAAGAUCGUCACUCACGGCGAAGUGAGGACGGUCAUCAGCCACAUGUCUGCAGCAAGAGCACCGACGGCCGCCGGACUGUCGCCAACGUUUCGCGAUACAACAGCUACUGCGACGACGAAGCGGAGCCCCGUACAGGACCUGAGAACGGAUGACUCCCUCAUACAAUCGGCGCACUCCGACUUCUGCCUCACCGACAUUCCGCAGCAGCCCACAUAGAGCGUUGGCUGUCGUCGCCACUUUGGGAACCAGGAGCUUGAAGUGCGACCCGAAUGUCCAUUGACUGUAGAUGGUGAGGCCCAAGUAUUUCAUCCGAGGUCCUGCCUUAACCUCCUCUCCGCUUAUGUCCAAACACUGGUCGGGCGGAGGAGCUCCUCUACGUCGGUAGUCAUAAAGCCAUAUGGCCUCUGACUUGGCUGGGGACACCUUCAGGCCCAGUCUCCGUAUAGCCCGUAUCACGUAAGCGGCGGCAGGCUCUCCGUGACGGAGCGUCUCGUGCCACCAGCGUCCUCCGACCAAGACCAAUGUGUCGUCCGCAUAACACACCAUGCCUGAGUCUGGGGAUAUGGGGCAAUGAAGCACCGCGUCGUAUCCGAUGAUCCACAGAAUCGGACCCAAAACCGAACCCUGCGGAACCCUCUUCUCCAUCGUUGCCGGUGUAGCCGACCCAUCUGUAAGCCCGUAUGACACGAACAUACUCCUUCGCUAGGAAUGAACGUAUGAGUUUCUAGGAUAUUUUGAGCAUUAGCAGACGAAUAAGGCAGAAUUGGGAAAAGAGUUCCGUCAUGGAUUGGUACUCUGCUUCUAAUCAUUUAUAUUUAUUACAUGAGUUUUCGGUAAAUAGAAAGAAACCAGCGGGGGCAGUUUUAAAUACUCGACGAAAAAUGUUAACGAGGGAAAAUUCCUGAGGAGGUUUGAUGAAAAUACAAAUUUUAUGGUUAAUGACGACGCGACAAUCAAUUUCAGAAACGAUUGGAACGUAUAUAUGUCGACGAAUUGAAGAAGAUUUUACCGCCGUGUGGGAGGAGAAGCGUUAACCAUUGGUGGAGCGACGAGUUGUCCGGGUUGAGGAUGGCAAUUCUAAGACUAAGAAAAUAAGCUUAGCGGGCAGUGGCAGCUGGGAGCGACAAUGUUGGCCUCAAGCUCACCUCGGGAAACCAUGACUCGUGACAUAUCUCGCAUCCUGUUCACCGCAUCCAUCGUCGAUACCUCCAUCGUCAAACACCUUCUCCACGCCACGCAUGUGCUGGUUGAGCACAUGUUAAGUAAGAGGAGCGCGAUUCCCGCAUCCCAGUCUGACAGCACCCGGCCACGAAAAAUCUGUCCUUGUGUUCUCCCAUUGCGAGGAGUGAGCAUUAAAGUCCCCCAGGACGAGGACCUGAUGUGGAAGGUGUCGUCUCACGCAAUCGCCAACCUCGUCCAGGAACUCCUCAAACGCGACCAGGCCACUGUUUGGAGAGACAUGUACGUCCACCACCACCAUUCCACUCGAUCGCGGCAUAACCCUUGCCCUGUUCGAGUAGGAUCCCCGCGACGGGUGUGCCCGGUGCUGACGUCCACGUCAUAGCGAUUAAGCCGUCCAGGUCUCCGACCCAGUUAGGGAUGUCUAGUAUACGAUAGGGUUCGACUACCACCGCCAGGGCAAUCCUGUUCUCCCUUAUCGUCUGGAAGCGCAGGUCUUGUGCCUGUUUCGAUCGUCCCAAGUUGGUCUGGAGGAGCCGUAUGAAUCUACUUUAUUAAGUCCAUAUCCAUGGCCUCCCCCGGCCAUCUGCCCCAUUCGUGAUCCUUUCUUCUUCUUGCGGUAGAUCUCUCGCGUUAUCGCCCCAUGCUCUGGCUCAGUCCUUUUAGUUUUCGGCGGAACGCAUGCCGCCCCUCCCAUUCUGUGGGUGGUGGCCGCACCAAGCGACUCACAGAGCGGGCACCUGGACACGGAGGCAGAGCAGCUCUUGGCCUGAUGACCGAUGCCUCCGCACCUGUAGCAUAGCUGCCCCCGAUCUACCGUAGAUCCGCAGGUCACUCUCACGUGUCCUAGCUCUAAGCAUCUACAACAUCUUAAGGGCUUCUUCGGGAUGGCUUCGUCCCUCGCCAUUGACCAGCCCACAAGACUUAGAUUCCGCGCUGUUGCUGUCGCGCAUCUUAUCCAUGCUGACCCAAGGCCAUCUCUGGAAAUCUUGAUGUCUCCUACUCGAACUUCCAGUGCUUUGCAUCCUCUGGCCCUCAUCAGGGUGUCUCGAAGUUCUUCCUUGCCGACCGAGAUGUCGAUCUUAGUUACCCUCAGAUUGGCCGUUCUUGUUGGGACCACAACUUUCAUUGUGGUCGGAUCCAGGGCUUUUGUCAACCGCACUGCAAGCGCGAGUGCCAUCUCCCUCUCUCUGUCCCCGGGAACUUCUAGAAUGAGCCUCCCAAUCAUCGCCUUCUUGAUUUUAACUUGUUCAAUACAGAAUUCGGGCAGCGGAACUUUCUGUCUAGCUGUCGCCAGCAUUUCGGCAUAUGAUAUUUUCGUCCCCUCACUCAGCGUUAGGGUCACCGCAGAUAACCGCGGAGGGGCAGGGAGCAUCACCUUCCUGGUCCCCUGCACUGACCCUCCUGUUGAGGUUAAUUGUGAGGUCCUAGGUACCUUGGCAGCAGCUGGUCUCUUCGCAACCUUCCUCUUUCUCUUAUGCUCGAUCACCUUCCAUUCACCACCCUUUUGCCCCUUCGAGGGCGAUGAUAUUUGGGUGGCAUUGCCUUGUCAACUCCACUGUGCCCGCGGCAAUGGUGCUUGCUACCUCCUUUAAGGUUUUAAUGUAUGUGUUCUUCAUUAUCUCCUCUACUUGCCGAAUUAGUUCAGCUCCUAUGUCCGCUGUGGGGGAUGUUCUCAUCUCCGAAGUCAGUUCCAUAGGUAUGUCUGGAACUGUGGGUGUCAGCUUCUUUUUUCUUUCCCUGGACGUCUCUGCUGAGGAUGGGGCCACAUAGGCCAUCAGCUCUUCGACGUCCGAACUCAAACUUCCCUGCAAAUUUCCAGCCGUGGUGUUUCUUGCAUCUGAUUCGACGCUUCGAGCCAUUACCAGAUCCAUAUCUGAACCCUCUGGUUUAUCCACCCUACUUGCGAGCUUCAUGGAUUUUCUGGUUACCUUUGAUGCAAGCUCCAUUCCUUCCUCCAUAUCCUGCUUUCUACUGGUGGUACUCUCCUCGUCGGACGCGGAGGCCCGUCCGGUGACCGUCAAUUAUUAUUAAUGAAGCUGAUUAAAUUCCAUAUCUAAAUCAUUUUGUCAAUUUUGUUAUUUGUUAUCGCAUCAAAGCAUGUCUUUUUGUAGAUCAUAUUAUAACAAUGUUUCCAUAUAUGAAUAAAAGCUACACUAAAACUUUCUUGUA